UAGGCAGGUUACAAUGAUAGUGCUUCAUUUGGGGGAAGGACUGCAUUAUCCUGGUGGGAAAAAACAGCUGUGCUAAUCAUUUUUGAUUUUGCUUUUAUGAGAAUAAGAUUAUGGACAGAUUGGCACAGUCAAGU